rnacentral:rRNA from 1 species
GUCCACGCCGUAAACGAUGAGAACUAGACGUCGGAGGGUCUGCUCUUCGGUGUCGUAGCUAACGCGCUAAGUUCUCCGCCUGGGGAGUACGGCCGCAAGGUUGAAACUCAAAGGAAUUGACGGGGCCCGCACAAGCGGUGGAGCAUGUGGUUUAAUUCGAUGCAACGCGAAGAACCUUACCUGGUCUUGACAUCCUCGGAACCCUACAGAGAUGUGGGGGUGCCUUCGGGAGCCGAGAGACAGGUGCUGCAUGGCUGUCGU